rnacentral:lncRNA from 1 species
UCCAAAGAAGAGGAAACCCACCAAGUCUGCUCAGUCUCCACAGCAAAAGAGGAGAAAAACCCAACCACGACGAAAGUUAAUUAUCGCUUCCUCCUCAAGCGAGUCUGAGGGUGAGAGUUCAGAUUCUAAUGACUCUCCACGUGGCAACACUCCACCCAGAUCUCCUACCCCAGAAGUUCAUGCAUCUACUUCUCCAAUUUCCUCUCCACCUAAAACCAUUCCUAUUUCUAUUCCCCCCAUAACUUCCACUACUUCAAUACCACCCACUUCCAUCCCAAUACCAAUACCAAUAUUCACCGACGCAACCACAACAUCCACUGCAGAUGUUAGAGCCAACGUAUCUGAUACGGGGGUUCAUACUGAUGCACCCGAAACCACUCCAGCACCCGAAACCACAAAAGCACCCGAACCUACACCAACACCCGAAACAACCCAACCCGAACCUACCCAUACUACUACACCACCAGCUUCACCACCACCACCUUCUCCUGGUCAUGCUUCAGAGGGAGAAGAACCAUUCCUUGGCGGGGAAGAUAUGACGUUUGACUCGGUCUACUAUAGUCCGUUUCAAGUACAGAGUGAUGACGAUGACGACGCUCCUGUCACAAAAAGACAUCUCAAGGAGCUCCAUGACAAGAUUGACUUGCUCAUCGCCUCCUCUUCCACUUCUCAGUCAUCCCUUUCUGAAGAUGCAGUUCAGAAGAUUGUUGACGCCUUCUCUAAAGCUCAGCAAGAUUCCAUUGCUUCUGCAACCUCCGCCAUAGAUGCCUCAACAAAAGCCUGUCAGGCUGCGACCGAAAAAGUCGAUAAACUAUUUUCUGAUGCCUCUUCCCUGUUAAAGUCUUUACAGGAGAGUGCAAAUGCNNNNNNNNNNNNNNNNNNCUGCUGACAGCCGGAUUAUCCAGACGUACAAAGGGUUCAAGCGUUCUGGUCCGAGGGAUCUUACUCCAGAGAUGUUGAAGUCAAUACAUGACGCCGACAAGCCUGCUCCAAGAGGCAAAAAGGCUGAUAAGGGGAAACAGGUGGCAAAAGGAGCAAAAGGCCCAUCUCCAAAGAAGAGGAAACCCACCAAGCCUGCUCAGUCUCCACAGCAAAAGAGGAGAAAAACCCAACCACGACGAAAGUUAAUUAUCGCUUCCUCCUCAAGCGAGUCUGAGGGUGAGAGUUCAGAUUCUGAUGACUCUCCACGUGGCAACACUCCACCCAGAUCUCCUACCCCAGAAGUUCAUGCAUCUACUUCUCCAAUUUCCUCUCCACCUAAAACCAUUCCUAUUUCUAUUCCCCCCAUAACUUCCACU